rnacentral:rRNA from 1 species
UGGGGAAUUUUGGACAAUGGGGGCAACCCUGAUCCAGCCAUGCCGCGUGCGGGAAGAAGGCCUUCGGGUUGUAAACCGCUUUUGUCCGGAAAGAAAAGGCAUCCCCUAAUACGGGGUGUCCUUGACGGUACCGGAAGAAUAAGCACCGGCUAACUACGUGCCAGCAGCCGCGGUAAUACGUAGGGUGCGAGCGUUAAUCGGAAUUACUGGGCGUAAAGCGUGCGCAGGCGGUUCGCUAAGUCUGAUGUGAAAGCCCCGGGCUCAACCUGGGAACUGCAUUGGAAACUGGCGAGCUUGAGUGUGGCAGAGGGGGGUGGAAUUCCACGUGUAGCAGUGAAAUGCGUAGAGAUGUGGAGGAACACCGAUGGCGAAGGCAGCCCCCUGGGCUAACACUGACGCUCAGGCACGAAAGCGUGGGGAGCAAACAGG